rnacentral:rRNA from 1 species
CACGUAGGGGGCGAGCGUUGUCCGGAUUCAUUGGGCGUAAAGCGCGCGCAGGCGGCUCGGAAAGUCGGGUGUGAAAACUCGGGGCUCAACCCCGGGCGUGCAUCCGAUACUGCCGGGCUUGAGGCAGGUAGGGGAGAUCGGAAUUCCUGGUGUAGCGGUGAAAUGCGCAGAUAUCAGGAGGAACACCGGUGGCGAAGGCGGCAUCCUGGACCAAUAUUGACGCUGAGGAGCGAAAGCCAGGGGAGCAAACGGG